UAUGAGUUGCAGAUUCUAAGAUCACUUGCUUAAUCAUAGGAAGCUAACUAAAGGCUCUUCACUGUUGUUUUUUUCUUGUCAUGGUGACCAAGCCCUGUGUGAUGGAGAUGACUUAAUUACAUGAAAAUUCCUCCAAUUUAUUUUUGUACUUCUGGAUUAUUCUCACUUAGUCAGUAGAGAUGUCCAAUGAUUCAUCCAACCUAUAACCUCUCUCCCUCUCCUGAUAUAUCAUUUUUGGCUGUCAAGAGCAAGGUAUACUAACCAAUGAGAUUCUGUGUUUCACCAUCCCUCUUUUGCAUAUUUGGGCAUGAAGCUUUAUAAAAACAACAAGAAGAGAGCAUCUGAGAUUAUGAAGAAGAUUUGAGGUUCACUUCAUCAGUUUUGUUGUAAUUUUGUGAUGUACUGUGUCACACAAUUUCCAGGAACUGACCAACCCUGCCCAGUGCCUCUUGAUCAGCCCAUUGCCCAUAUAAGGAUACAUUCCCUUCUUUCUUUAUUGAAUAAACCUGUUUUUCCAGUGAGGAAGCUGUUUUAAUCAAUACAAGUGGGCAUCUACGUGCUCUUCAUUUUCUUGUUUUAAAGAGUAGUCUAAGUCACUGAAAGGAACUAGGUGGUACAGUAGAGUCCCAGACCUAGAGUCAGGAGCACUGAAUUCAAAUCUAGUCUCAGACAAUUACUAGCUGUGUGACCCUGAGUAAAAUUUACUCUUAGUAAAUCACUUCAUCCUGUUUGCCUCAGUUUCCUCAGCUGUAGAGUGAGGUGGAGAAGGGAAUAGCAAACGUUUCCUCCAGAGUCUCUACCAAAAAAACCCAAAAAUGUUGUCAGGAGAAGUCAGACAAGACUGAACAACAACAAAUCUACCGUCUGUAUUUGAUUCAUUCAAACACUUCCAGUGCUUUCUAAAUUUCCUGAUCUAGAUCAAAGUCCAAUCACCAAACAUAGAUCUGGCUUGGAUAUUUAUUCCUUCUUAUUAGCUUUGUGCAAAAGAUAAGAAGAUAGGGGGAAAAAAUUCAGAAGAUAUGAAGAGGUUCUUGAUGAAAAAACAUUGACUUUGAAACCUGAGAAAUUUUUGAUUUCAACAUAAAUGUCUAAUCAAAAACAAAUAUUAGAAGGUACAUUCAAUAGAUUCAAUACCAGAGAACAUGAGGCUCUUUUAUAAAUAUGUGCCUUCAUUUUUUAAUAUAUAUUUUCCCUUAUGAUCAGAUGGCUAUAUUAGAUGUAUAAUAGAAAUUCAGAUAUUAUUAGAGAUCUGAAAUGCUUUACCUAGAUUUGAAAGUUUGAUUUAUAUUUUAUUUUGCAGCAAGUGUUGUUCUGGAUGCCAUAUGCUUAUAGCCGGGAUAGCAACAAUAUUGGAUGGAGUGAACCUAGAGGAUUGGAGGAAGAAAGGAAAAUUCCCUCUUUAGAAAUUCAGAGAGAACUGGCCAAGCAUUCUCAAACCAAGUGCUCAACAGAGGAAAAGAGACAGCAUUUUUCCUCUCCUACAAUGAUUUGCUUGCUGGCGCCAUUGAGAGCAGUGCCGUGGAGGAGAGCUGAGGCAGGACAACAUAAAAACCCGGUAUGUAAGUGGGAGUGAGGGGGGAUGAUGGAGGAUAAAAGGGGCAUGAUGGAGGAUAAAAGAAGAACUCAGGGGGCAUCAUGGAGGAUAAAUGAAGAACUCAGCCAGCACUCACCACGCUAAAGAAAUGAAGAACUUCCUUGUAGAGAGAAGAAUAGAUCAAGUAAUGAUUCCUGCAGGAAUGACUGCCUAUCUCCAGACCCUUGAUAUUGCAAUAAAAAGCCAUUCAAGGACCAUUUGCGCAUGGAAGUCAAUGACUACAUUGAAAAUAGAAUGGAAAGAAAUCAGCGUGGAAACUUUGUGAAGCCCUGUCUGCAAGAAGUCGGUGAAGAAGUCAUGGGAUAAAAUUACUGACAGCUGUGUCACCAAGGCACUACGAGCAGGUUAGCUGGACAAGACAUGUUCAUUUAAAGAGAGCUAUAUUGCUGGACAUGACAGAUUGGGCCCACUUCUUCUGAAGGAAAUAGAGGCACAAGACAUCCAGGAUGGAAUUCAGGGUAUGGACACUUAUGACGAUGUUGAAGAACAUGAUCAUUAUUGAAUAAAGGUACUUUUUUUGUUCACAUUUAUCUGUUUAUUAAAAUUGCUGUCAAUGUUCAUUAAAAUAAGCCCUCCCCUGAAAAUAAGCCCUCUGGUGGUUUUUCUGUCCAAAAAAAUUAAUAAGACAGUGUCUUAUUAUCGGGGAAACACGGUAUGUCAUAUCAUACAUAUUAAUCAUAUUUCCAUAUUAGUCAUUGCAAAAAAAAAGGAAAAAAAUAAAAUGAAAGAUGAUUUGCUUGA